GAUGAACGCUAGCGGCAGGCCUAAUACAUGCAAGUCGGACGGGAUUGAGGAGCUUGCUUCUCAUGAGAGUGGCGCACGGGUGCGUAACACGUAUGUAACCUACCUUCAUCAGGGGGAUAGCCUCUCGAAAGAGAGAUUAACACCGCAUAAAAUCACAGUGCAGCAUUGCAUAAUGAUCAAAUAUUUAUAGGAUGAAGAUGGGCAUGCGGGACAUUAGCUAGUUGGUGUGGGUAACGGCCCACCAAGGCGACGAUGUCUAGGGGAUCUGAGAGGAUGACCCCCCACACUGGUACUGAGACACGGACCAGACUCCUACGGGAGGCAGCAGUAAGGAAUAUUGGUCAAUGGAGGCAACUCUGAACCAGCCAUGCCGCGUGCAGGAAGACGGCCCUACGGGUUGUAAACUGCUUUUGUACUGGAAUAAACCUUUGGUCGUGACCGAAGCUGAAUGUACGGUAAGAAUAAGGAUCGGCUAACUCCGUGCCAGCAGCCGCGGUAAUACGGAGGAUCCAAGCGUUAUCCGGAUUUAUUGGGUUUAAAGGGUGCGUAGGUGGCCUAUUAAGUCAGGGGUGAAAGACGGUAGCUUAACUAUCGCAGUGCCUUUGAUACUGAUGGGCUUGAAUACAGUUGAAGUAGGCGGAAUGUGACAAGUAGCGGUGAAAUGCAUAGAUAUGUCACAGAACACCGAUUGCGAAGGCAGCUUACUAAAGUGUGAUUGACACUGAGGCACGAAAGCGUGGGGAUCAAACAGG
rnacentral:rRNA from 1 species